ACACCCCAUAAAUGCUGUGAAGAGGAGAUUGCAGCCCUACUGCAUGCAGACAGCCUUGGUUCAAAGGGAGAGUUUGCAUAACUAAGGUCUUGUGUAUCAUCUUGUGGUGCUUGAUGGAGCAAAAGGAAAUGAACUCAGCUCCCCUUUCUUCUCUCAGCAAGCCUGUGGUCAUCCAUGCCAGUCAACCUGUGCAGAGAUGUGGCUAUUUACAGCAUUGCUGCCAGCUGGAGUCAGUAACUGCAUAAACCUUUCCAGGAGAGUGAUGUAAGCAGGAGGAGGUCUCACGUUGCAGUAUGCCUUACUUCUGAGUUGAUGGAAACCUCAUCUCAAAGGCAAAAGGAAUGCAAUCCUCCUGGGACAUAACAGAAACAGUCACUAUGCAUCCCUGCAACUUCCCAUCGUCUCUUGCAUCCUGUGGGAGAUGGAGAAGACGUGUGAGAAACGGGUGUCACUGUAGACACACAGAGCUUAUGAAAAUCCCAAACAUCCACCACUGCAUCUGUGGACAAAGUUGUCCAACUACUGCAAUGCUGGCAUGAUGAUGCUAGAGACCCAUUCAUAUGCCAUGGCAAACUCUGAGAGAAGUCUGAGAUCGUUCACUUCUACUUGUUUCCCCACUGUUUCUAAUUAGUUAUGGCAUUGGCAUAAAACAGGAUCUGUGUCUAUUAA